rnacentral:misc_RNA from 1 species
UCCCCUCCUUUCUCGAGCUAACGUGUCAGUUGCGUCAAAGCAAUGCGUUGAGCGCUCACGCUUAUCGGCUGUGAAUUAGGACAGACUCAGGGGUCUGUAGCUCAGUCGGUUAGAGCACCGUCUUGAUAAGGCGGGGGUCGAUGGUUCGAAUCCAUCCAGACCCACCAAAGUCUUGUCUGGUGUGCUGAUCGUCUGAAACCUCUGGGAUAUCUGUAUGACUGGGGGAUUAGCUCAGCUGGGAGAGCACCUGCUUUGCAAGCAGGGGGUCGUCGGUUCGAUCCCGUCAUCCUCCACCAAUCCUCAAUGCCGGUUUGUCUGCGGCGCCAGUAGAAGUUGGCGGUGUAGUGGAACAGGCAUUGGCGAUUGAGCCAGUCAGAGUGAUACGCGGUUAUGGCAACUGCGAUAUCGGCUGUCGUUCUUUAACAAUCAGGAAGAAGUAGUAAAGAGAUUCACGAAAGAGCACCUGGAGAUGGGUGGAUGAGUAGGUGAAUCAGGGUUGUGAUUGUAUCAAUGUAUGAAAAGAGAGAUCGAAAGAUCGCUUUUGGAAUACGGCGCAACACGAAUACUCAACCUGUAGCGGCGGUGUCGAGAGACACACCCGUUAUAGGGUCAAGCGAACAAGUGCAUGUGGUGGAUGCCUUGGCGAUCACAGGCGAUGAAGGACGCGGUAGCCUGCGAAAAGCGGUGGGGAGCUGGCAAACGAGCUUUGAUCCACCGAUAUCCGAAUGGGG